rnacentral:tRNA from 1 species
GCCGGGAUGGCGGAAUUUGGUAGACGCACUCGACUCAAAAUCGAGCGGUUCGCAGCCAUGGGGGUUCGAGUCCCCCUCUCGGCACCA